UACCGAAUUGAUAACUGGAUGGAUUGAUCGGUUUUCCAGUCCCUUUCUGUCUUUUAAGUAUUCGGGAAAUCAAAACUGGAAAUGCUUCUUACACGAUGGACAACAUUAUAAAUUGUGUUUAUCGUUUACUUUUCCUUAACAUUU
rnacentral:snoRNA from 1 species